rnacentral:rRNA from 1 species
UACGAAGGGUGCGAGCGUUAAUCGGAAUUACUGGGCGUAAAGCGUGCGUAGGCGGUUCGUUAAGUCAGCUGUGAAAGCCCCGGGCUCAACCUGGGAAUUGCGGUUGAAACUGGCGAACUAGAAUCUGGCAGAGGGGGGUGGAAUUCCACGUGUAGCAGUGAAAUGCGUAGAGAUGUGGAGGAACACCGAUGGCGAAGGCAGCCCCCUGGGCUGAGAUUGACGCUCAGGCACGAAAGCGUGGGGAGCAAACAGG